rnacentral:lncRNA from 1 species
AGGAAAGCCUGGGUAUUUGGAGGUGAAGUCAGAAAUAAGAACAAAGCUAAAUCAGAUAUAUAAACAAAAAGUAGACUCAUUUUAGAUACAUGGCAGUAACAGGUACCAAUGCAUAAAAUUGUCUUCUCUUUCCUAUCCCCUACAGAGAAGAAACAACAGUGACUUUGAAUGAUAAGGACUGGAUUCUGGCCAGAACUCUGGCCUCUGCUAGCUGUAAGGUUCCUGAUCAGUUAAAUGGUGCAUCUUUUCAAGGGUGACUAAUUCAUUACCUGCUGCCCUGGAAUACGCAAUUGUCCAAAAAUUUUGUUUUGUUUUGUUUUUCAGCUAGGGAGUUUUCUUUCACUUUGCAAUUUAUUUCAUUUAUUCAUAGAAUUUUGA